rnacentral:tRNA from 1 species
AGUCCCGAGGUGAUUUGUCACAUUGAAUUGCAAAUUCAAAGGAGCAGCUUCAAUCCUGCCGGGGCUU